AUACGUAGGGAGCGAGCGUUGUCCGGAAUUACUGGGCGUAAAGGGCGCGUAGGCGGCGCUUCAAGUCGUCUGUCAAAUGGGAGGGCUUAACCCUUUUUCGCAGACGAAACUGGAGAGCUUGAGAAGCAGAGAGGCAAACAGAAUUCCUGGUGUAGCGGUGAAAUGCGUAGAUAUCAGGAAGAAUACCAGUGGCGAAGGGGGUUUGCUGGCUGCAUACUGACGCUGAAGCGCGAAAGCCAGGGGAGCGAACGGGAUUAGAUACCCCGGUAGUCCUGGCAGUAAACGAUGUAUGCUGGGUGUGAGACUAGCGAUAGUUUCGUGCCGAAGUUAACGCGAUAAGCAUACCGCCUGGGGAGUACGGUCGCAAGAUUGAAACUCAAAUGAAUUGACGGGG
rnacentral:rRNA from 1 species